rnacentral:rRNA from 1 species
UGCUUACACAUGCAAGUCGAACGGUGAAGCAGAGCUUGCUCUGUGGAUCAGUGGCGAACGGGUGAGUAACACGUGAGCAACCUGCCCCUGACUCUGGGAUAAGCGCUGGAAACGGCGUCUAAUACCGGAUAUGAGCUGCGAUCGCAUGGUCAGCAGUUGGAAAGAUUUUUCGGUCUGGGAUGGGCUCACGGCCUAUCAGCUUGUUGGUGAGGUAAUGGCUCACCAAGGCGUCGACGGGUAGCCGGCCUGAGAGGGUGACCGGCCACACUGGGACUGAGACACGGCCCAGACUCCUACGGGAGGCAGCAGUGGGGAAUAUUGCACAAUGGGCGAAAGCCUGAUGCAGCAACGCCGCGUGAGGGAUGACGGCCUUCGGGUUGUAAACCUCUUUUAGCAGGGAAGAAGCGAAAGUGACGGUACCUGCAGAAAAAGCGCCGGCUAACUACGUGCCAGCAGCCGCGGUAAUACGUAGGGCGCAAGCGUUAUCCGGAAUUAUUGGGCGUAAAGAGCUCGUAGGCGGUUUGUCGCGUCUGCUGUGAAAUCCCGAGGCUCAACCUCGGGUCUGCAGUGGGUACGGGCAGACUAGAGUGCGGUAGGGGAGAUUGGAAUUCCUGGUGUAGCGGUGGAAUGCGCAGAUAUCAGGAGGAACACCGAUGGCGAAGGCAGAUCUCUGGGCCGUUACUGACGCUGAGGAGCGAAAGGGUGGGGAGCAAACAGGCUUAGAUACCCUGGUAGUCCACCCCGUAAACGUUGGGAACUAGUUGUGGGGUCCAUUCCACGGAUUCCGUGACGCAGCUAACGCAUUAAGUUCCCCGCCUGGGGAGUACGGCCGCAAGGCUAAAACUCAAAGGAAUUGACGGGGACCCGCACAAGCGGCGGAGCAUGCGGAUUAAUUCGAUGCAACGCGAAGAACCUUACCAAGGCUUGACAUAUACGAGAACGGGCCAGAAAUGGUCAACUCUUUGGACACUCGUAAACAGGUGGUGCAUGGUUGUCGUCAGCUCGUGUCGUGAGAUGUUGGGUUAAGUCCCGCA